rnacentral:rRNA from 1 species
AGGUGCCUACGGGGGGCAGCAGUGGGGAAUAUUGCGCAAUGGGGGAAACCCUGACGCAGCAACGCCGCGUGAGUGAGGAAGUAUCUCGGUAUGUAAAGCUCUAUCAGCGGGGAAGAAAGAGGACGGUACCCGACUAAGAAGCCCCGGCUAACUACGUGACAGCAGCCGCGGUAAUACGUAGGGGGCGAGCGUUAUCCGGAUUUACUGGGUGUAAAGGGAGCGUGGACGGCUGUGCAAGUCUGGAGUGAAAGGCGGGGGCCCAA